rnacentral:rRNA from 1 species
UACAGAGGGUGCUAGCGUUGUUCGGAAUCAUUGGGCGUAAAGGGCGUGUAGGCGGUUUUGUUAAGUCAUGGUGUGAAAUCCCUCGGCUCAACCGGGGAACGACGAUGAAACUGGCAAGCUAGAGUACCAAAGAGGGGGUGGAAUUCCCGGUGUAGCGGUGAAAUGCGUAGAUAUUGGGAGGAACACAGUGGCGAAGGCGGCUCACUGGACCGGAACUGGACGCUGAGGCGCGAAAGC